GGCCACUUUGUACUUGUUACAAAUCUUGUCCCAUGUUCUGGGAUUAGAUUACAUCUUUGGCCUGAGAAAAGAAAAUCAGCAUCAGACUUGCCUGUUGGUAAAAGGGUUCUAGAAGUGACACAAAAAAUGGUGCACAUUCCAUCAGGACCAGCACCAAGGCAGAUUGAACCAGGUAGUCAGACUGAGCAAGCUCCUCCAUCAACUGUAUUUUUGUUGGCUCCUGGGGAUAUGCAUGGUUUCAGAUUCUUGACCAUCUCAGUUGCACCUAGUCCGGAAGGCCUCCACCUGCUGCUUCCAUGGCAGUUGGACAAUUCUUUAUUCCAAAAGAUGGGGAAUUAGAGUUGUUUCCUCAGUUGUUGCUUCUCUCAACUUAUUCUCCGAAGGUCA